UUACGGUCACAUCAGGUUGAGACACUGGAUCUUGUACGAUCACCGAAGUUAAGCAACAUCGAGACUGACCCGUACUUAGAUGGGUGAGCGCUUGGAAAUACCAGGUUCUGUAA